rnacentral:lncRNA from 1 species
GCAUAAACUGAAAUAAGAUUGUCCUACUUUAGGGUUUACCCCUUACAGUGAACAGAUUAUCCUAGUUUAUACUAAUAUUUGAUAAAAUUUGAUUUUAUAUAUUGCAUGUGAUGUUUAUGAUCUGAUUUAGAUAUAAUUUAAGAUUGUGAUCAGUUCUGAUAUAAUUUAGAUUAGAUUUAAAUUUAAAUAUAUAUGAUAUGUGAUUAGAUUAGAUGAUUCGAUUAACAAGUAC